UACAGAGGUCCCAAGCGUUGUUCGGAUUCACUGGGCGUAAAGGGUGCGUAGGUGGCGAGGUAAGUCGGAUGUGAAAGCUCGGAGCUCAACUCCGAAAUGGCAUUGGAAACUACCUUGCUCGAGGGUUGGAGGGGGGACUGGAAUUCUCGGUGUAGCAGUGAAAUGCGUAGAUAUCGAGAGGAACACCAGUGGCGAAGGCGAGUCCCUGGACAACUCCUGACACUGAGGGACGAAAGCUAGGGGAGCAAACAGG
rnacentral:rRNA from 1 species